rnacentral:rRNA from 1 species
GAUCCUGGCUCAGGAUGAACGCUGGCGGCGUGCUUAACACAUGCAAGUCGAACGAAGCACUUUACUUGAUUUCCUUCGGGGAUGAUUGUUCUGUGACUGAGUGGCGGACGGGUGAGUAACGCGUGGAUAACCUGCCUCACACAGGGAGAUAACAGUUGGAAACGACUGCUAAUACCGCAUAAGCGCACAGCACCGCAUGGUGCAGUGUGAAAAAACUCCGGU